rnacentral:rRNA from 1 species
AUGCAGUCGAGCGGUAGAGAGAAGCUUGCUUCUCUUGAGAGCGGCGGACGGGUGAGUAAUGCCUAGGAAUCUGCCUGGUAGUGGGGGAUAACGUUCGGAAACGGACGCUAAUACCGCAUACGUCCUACGGGAGAAAGCAGGGGACCUUCGGGCCUUGCGCUAUCAGAUGAGCCUAGGUCGGAUUAGCUAGUUGGUGAGGUAAUGGCUCACCAAGGCGACGAUCCGUAACUGGUCUGAGAGGAUGAUCAGUCACACUGGAACUGAGACACGGUCCAGACUCCUACGGGAGGCAGCAGUGGGGAAUAUUGGACAAUGGGCGAAAGCCUGAUCCAGCCAUGCCGCGUGUGUGAAGAAGGUCUUCGGAUUGUAAAGCACUUUAAGUUGGGAGGAAGGGUUGUAGAUUAAUACUCUGCAAUUUUGACGUUACCGACAGAAUAAGCACCGGCUAACUCUGUGCCAGCAGCCGCGGUAAUACAGAGGGUGCAAGCGUUAAUCGGAAUUACUGGGCGUAAAGCGCGCGUAGGUGGUUUGUUAAGUUGGAUGUGAAAUCCCCGGGCUCAACCUGGGAACUGCAUUCAAAACUGACUGACUAGAGUAUGGUAGAGGGUGGUGGAAUUUCCUGUGUAGCGGUGAAAUGCGUAGAUAUAGGAAGGAACACCAGUGGCGAAGGCGACCACCUGGACUAAUACUGACACUGAGGUGCGAAAGCGUGGGGAGCAAACAGGAUUAGAUACCCUGGUAGUCCACGCCGUAAACGAUGUCAACUAGCCGUUGGAAGCCUUGAGCUUUUAGUGGCGCAGCUAACGCAUUAAGUUGACCGCCUGGGGAGUACGGCCGCAAGGUUAAAACUCAAAUGAAUUGACGGGGGCCCGCACAAGCGGUGGAGCAUGUGGUUUAAUUCGAAGCAACGCGAGAACCUUACCAGGCCUUGACAUCCAAUGAACUUUCUA